UACGUAGGUGGCAAGCGUUGUCCGGAUUUAUUGGGUUUAAAGGGUGCGUAGGCGGUUUUCUAAGUCAGCAGUGAAAUACGGCAGCUCAACUGUCGAGGUGCUGUUGAUACUGGGGAACUUGAGUACUGAUGAGGUAGGCGGAAUGGACGGUGUAGCGGUGAAAUGCUUAGAGAUCGUCCAGAACACCGAUAGCGAAGGCAGCUUACUAAGGAGUAACUGACGCUGAGGCACGAAAGUGUGGGGAUCAAACAGG
rnacentral:rRNA from 2 species